AUAUGGAGAUAUGUGACGGGCUCCACUUGGCUGGCAAUCAGCGCUGCGAUGAGGACUUCAGAGAAGAUCACUGAACUUGCUCCAAGUGUUUAAACAAGGGCACAUGCCUCUCCAAAUCUUCGCUUGAUCGCUUCCAUAAACAGCUAGUAAUAGGUUACAGCGGUCCUUGGAAAGAAAAACUGCCCACUUCUUCCAACUAAAAACAAUCGAUCUAUUUUAAUAGACUGAGAUGGUAAUAAGGACAAUAUAUCAAAUUUAAUAUAAGAUGUUGUAGCUUUGUGGUAAGUCAAACUUACUAGGUCUGACCAACUUUAAAGAAAAAUCUAUUGACAUGUACAAUGUGAAAUGAGUAUACUAUGAAAGUGUCAAUACUUCAGUACAACUUUGUACUUGAGUUGUACUAAAUUAACGACACUUGUUAUAGAUCGGAGAGAGUAAACUUAUUUAACAGGGGUGAAAAUCGUGACGUUUUGUUACCCUUUUCCGAUGAUAGCCACCUCCUUGAACAGUCUGGAACUGUCAAGGACAUCGAAUCAGAUCAUCAUGCACCGUACAGGAGACGUGCUCUGUAUAGCUCGCAGACAAUACAAGAAGUGUGGACAAAAUUACGGGUUGUAAAGCAGAAGGAAUAAAGAUGGGCUGCAUCUACAAGUACAGCGCACAUCCUGACAUAAUCCAAGACAAAUCGGAUUGGACCGGAUCAUUGGAUGAAGAUGCAGCUUUAACAUCAUCACUAGCAAAAGGAUGCGACAUUUCAGCAGUGUGUUAGAACUUACCCGCUACUCCUACAGGCAUAUGACUAGAAAAUGUGCAGUUUUGGUUAACGGAAUCUAAUUUAGUGGUUCACCAGGACA